rnacentral:lncRNA from 1 species
GUGGGUAAUUUUAACUUAAAUUUUCUCAAAUGGAAAAAUUGUGUAUAUAAAAAGUUUAGAUCUUGAUGAUAUGUAACAACUUGGUAUUCAAAAUUUUUUCAUUUUAAGUAAUUUAGUUUGUCAUUUGACCAAGUUUGACCAAAACCCGUCUUGGAUUUUAAAGAAAUGUGCUUAGGAUUGGCUCAAAUUUAUCCAAAUGGAAAAAUGGACAAUAUAUCAAAUGU